CUUCAUUAAUCUGCUGAGGACAGAUGAAAUGAAUAUGCGUAUCGAAUCCACCAGCAGUCACAAUCUUGCCCUCGGCAGCAAUCACGUCUGUCGACGACCCCACGACAAGAUCCGGGUGCACUCCAUCCAUGACAUCCGGAUUACCAGCUUUGCCAAUUCCAACGAUCAUUCCAUCCUUGAUACCGAUAUCAGCUUUGUAAAUACCGCUCCAGUCAACGAUCAGUGCGUUGGUGACGACGGUAUCCACGCAUUCCUUGGUCGUCUUUCCGGACGACUGGCCCAUGCCUUCGCGCAG
rfam:Talaromyces cellulolyticus DNA, scaffold: scf_tce0_033, strain Y-94, whole genome shotgun sequence.